AAUAAGCACCCGCUAACUCCCUGCCAGCAGCCGCGGUAAUACCGAAGGUGCAAGCGUUGUCCCGAUUUAUUGGGUUUAAAGGGUGCGUAGGCGGGUUUUUAAGUCAGUGGUGAAAGCCCUCCCCUCAACUGUGAAACUGCCAUUGAUACUGAAGAGCUUGAGUAUCGGUGAGGUAGGCGGAAUUGAUGGUGUAGCGGUGAAAUGCUUAGAUUCCAUAAAGAACACCUAUACCGUAGGCAGCUUACUAAACUAUAACUGACGCUGAAGCACCAAAGUGUGGGGAACGAACAGGAUUAAAUACCCUGGUA
rnacentral:rRNA from 1 species